AAACAGCCGCGUGCUUGCCGAGAGGUCAAGGGGCGCCAGGAAAAUACAGGAAGUAAACUGCGCUAUUUUGCAUGGACUGGCUGCUGCUGUUAUCGGAUAGCCGAUGCUUGUGGAAGAAACCCUACGUGUGGGCCACGAGAGCUUGUUAUCCGUGAGUUAGGUUUUUUGGUCAUGGGGAGUUGGAGGAUUUCUGUUUUGCCAGCCUCACAUGGUUUUUGCCUUGUCUAUACCUGCCUGCCCACUCACAGAGAUUCACCGUGUGGAGAUCCACCUUGCACAUAUUGUUCUACUAUCAAUAAAUCCUCUGUGAUUUCACCUUUGA